UACGAAGGGGGCUAGCGUUGCUCGGAAUUACUGGGCGUAAAGCGCGCGUAGGCGGAUAUUUAAGUCAGGGGUGAAAUCCCAGAGCUCAACUCUGGAACUGCCUUUGAUACUGGGUAUCUUGAGUAUGGAAGAGGUAAGUGGAAUUGCGAGUGUAGAGGUGAAAUUCGUAGAUAUUCGCAGGAACACCAGUGGCGAAGGCGGCUUACUGGUCCAUUACUGACGCUGAGGUGCGAAAGCGUGGGGAGCAAACAGG
rnacentral:rRNA from 1 species